rnacentral:lncRNA from 1 species
CUCACUUCCUGCCCGACCACCUCUCUUGUUUCCCACCAGUCACCUACUGCUCCUCCUCCACCCCUCACCAACUCUUGUUUCAUGGCCGGGCGUCCCCCCCGGUGCACGCUGUGCGGAGGGGCUUGGCAUGAUGCUUAUCAGUGCACCAGCCCGCCGCCUAGCGUCAAUUGGUGCUUUAAGUGUGGCGAGAUGGGGCAUGCCCGGUGGACUUGCCCCCACAAAAUCGGGACUGUCGUCGUCGGUUGCAAUUUCUGCGACGGAGUGGGGCAUAUCCGCAGAAACUGCCCUAGCCCGCACUGCAGCGGGUGUCACGGAAACCAUCCGAGGACCCAUUGUCCCGACUCGCCGUGCUACAAGUGCGCAGGCAACGGGCAUAUGGCUCAGGACUGCACCAGCCAGGGCCACGAAAUUUGCAGCUUCUGUGGCCAGACGGGCCACUCCCAGCCACAGUGUAGCAGCCGGCUCCCGGGCCGCAGGGCAUGCCGCAAUUGCGGAGGGAUGGGUCACAGUCACCAGAACUGCGCUAGCGCCUACAACCCGCCUCAUUGCACAGUGUGCAAUACUGACGGUCACAUGCCCACAGAAUGCCCCGUGCGCACCGGAGAUCGAGAUGAUCCAUACAGGGCAUUUGUAAGCCCUGAUGCAUGCGCCCUGUGCAAUAGAACCGGACACGUUCAAGCCAAUUGUCCCCAGUUACGGCGCCGCCGCUGAUAGUUCGUUCUUCCUUAAGGCUUAACCUAUGUAUCUGUUAGACUUAGCAGUGUGAGUAAUUAGUAUCCUUUAUCUUAGUUUCGAGGAGGUGUUAGUUUGAAUCUACCGUGUGUGUGUGUGUGGAGCGGUAAGGCUUCAGUUCCUGUAUGUUUUAAGAUUGUACGCGUAAGGCUUCAGUUCAUGUAUGGCUCUAUCCAUAGUCUCGAUGCUUGGCUUUGGAAAAGAAUGCAUUGUUUACUGUUUGGAAAUUUCUUUCAUCUAUCUACGUACUGACGCUCCUUCUAAUUCAUUUUCCAUAUUGGAUAUCAUCCAUGGAUCGGUGUAUGAGAUCUUAUUAUGUUAUUAUUUUUUAUCUACUAGUUUCUUGAAAGGUAGAAUGUUUUCUUAUGUACAAAUUUGUAGUUGUUGGAAUUGAUCUUGGCUUAGUCAAAGGAUCAAGUGGGUUAACUACCUAAUUACCAUCCCACGUUGCCCUGGUUUGGGGGCAACAAACUGACCAACGGCCCUCGCCGUUUUGUUUUCCCGUUCGGCGCGGUGGACCAUCCGAUGCGACGGACGGUGGAGAUUGCAGCGGGUGCGGAU